AUGCUCUCCAAAGCGGCUCGAUGUGGACACAUUAUUCCUGUGGUCUCUCACCUACUUCCGGAAGGGGUCUCUCAUUUGCAAUAUGCAGAUGACACAAUCAUCUUGGUAGAGUUGGACAAUGCCUGUAUUGCCAAUCUGAAAUUUAUUCUGUUGUGCUUCGAAGCUGUUUCUGGUCUUAAGAUCAAUUUCGCCAAGAGUGAGGUUAUGGUGACAGGGGUUGACCGGGCGGAGGCCUUGCGGGUGGCCAGACUCCUCAACUGCUCCUUAGGUUCCUUUCCUUUCAAAUAUUUAGGUCUUCCUAUCUCUCCUGGUCUGCUUCACGCGAAAGACUUCGCUCCGCUGGUUGCUAAAGUGGGGAAUAGGGUGCUUCCUUGGAGGGGUAGGUAUAAUACCAAUGCUGGCAAAGUGGCUCUAAUCAAUUCUUGCUUAUCCUCUCUCCCGUUGUUCCUUAUGGGCUUUUACCGUCUCACGGAUGGUGUGCAUGCUGGCUUCGACAAACAUAGGGGUGGCUUUUAUUGGAAUUCUGCAGAUAACAAAAGGAAGUAUAGGUUGGUUAAGUGGCAGCUUAUGUGCAAGCCUAAAAACCUUGGGGGGUUAGGCAUUAUUAAUACUCGGGUGAUAAAUAUUUGUCUGCUCAUUAAGUGGUGGUGGAAAAUU
rnacentral:rRNA from 1 species